AGGGGCUGGCACCCUUUGCCUCCUACCACGUCCGCGUGGCCUGCCGCAGCGAGGCCGGCGCCUCCCGCUGGACCCACUGGGUGCCCAUGGAGACCCUGGAAGGGGCGCCCUGUGCCCCGCCGGAGAACGUCACAGCCUUCCAGAACGGCAGCCGGGCCACGGUGCACUGGCUGGAGCCACGCGGGCCGCUCGGCGGGAUCCUGCGUGGGUACAGACUGGCCUAUCAGAGCCCCGGUUCGCCCGAAGUGGUGGUGGAUGUGGGGCUGACCACCGAGAAGACCCUGGA